UGGGGAAUCUUGGACAAUGGGCGCAAGCCUGAUCCAGCCAUGCCGCGUGGAUGAUGAAGGCCUUAGGGUUGUAAAAUCCUUUCGUUGGGGACGAUAAUGACGGUACCCAAAGAAGAAGCUCCGGCUAACUUCGUGCCAGCAGCCGCGGUAAUACGAAGGGGGCUAGCGUUGUUCGGAUUUACUGGGCGUAAAGCGCGUGUAGGCGGGUCGUUAAGUUGGGGGUGAAAUCCCGAGGCUCAACCUCGGAACUGCCUUCAAAACUGGCGACCUGGACCUAAGUAGAGGCAAGUGGAAUUGCGAGUGUAGAGGUGAAAUUCGUAGAUAUUCGCAGGAACACCAGUGGCGAAGGCGACUUGCUGGACUUAUGGUGACGCUGAGACGCGAAAGCGUGGGGAGCAAACAGGAUUAGAUACCCUCGUAGUCCCUGAGCGGGCUGGCAAGGCGCAU
rnacentral:rRNA from 1 species